rfam:Schistosoma curassoni strain Dakar, Senegal genome assembly, scaffold: SCTD_contig0009843
AGCCUUCCGUAUCCGUGCUGAGAUUUCGUCACACACCAGAUCACAAGGGCUGAUGAGACUUUUAAGAUAAGUGGGACA